rnacentral:rRNA from 1 species
AGAGUUUGAUCCUGGCUCAGAACGAACGCUGGCGGCGUGCUUAACACAUGCAAGUCGAGCGAGAAAGGGGGGGCAACCCCCUGAGUAAAGCGGCGCACGGGUGAGUAACGCGUGGGUAACCUACCCUCAGGCGGGGGAUAACUACUCGAAAGGGUGGCUAAUACCGCAUGAGACCACGGGAUCUUCGGAUCCUGAGGCUAAAGAUUGCACCGGCUUGCCGGUGCUGUCACCAGGGGAUGGGCCCGCGUCCGAUUAGCUAGUUGGCGAGGUAAUGGCUCACCAAGGCUUCGAUCGGUAGCUGGUCUGAGAGGAUGAUCAGCCACACUGGAACUGAAACACGGUCCAGACUCCUACGGGAGGCAGCAGUGAGGAAUAUUGCGCAAUGGGGGCAACCCUGAUCCAGCAAUGCCGCGUGAGUGAAGAAGGCCUUCGGGUUGUAAAGCUCUUUUGUCAGGGAAGAAACGGUUCUGGCUAAUACCCGGAGCUAAUGACGGUACCUGAAGAAUAAGCACCGGCUAACUACGUGCCAGCAGCCGCGGUAAUACGUAGGGUGCAAGCGUUAAUCGGAAUUACUGGGCGUAAAGCGUGCGCAGGCGGUUAUGUAAGACAGAUGUGAAAUCCCCGGGCUCAACCUGGGAACUGCAUUUGUGACUGCAUGACUGGAGUGCGGCAGAGGGGGAUGGAAUUCCGCGUGUAGCAGUGAAAUGCGUAGAUAUGCGGAGGAACACCGAUGGCGAAGGCAAUCCCCUGGGCCUGCACUGACGCUCAUGCACGAAAGCGUGGGGAGCAAACAGGAUUAGAUACCCUGGUAGUCC